rnacentral:rRNA from 1 species
AUACGUAGGUGACAAGCGUUAUCCGGAUUUACUGGGCGUAAAGGGCGUGUAGGCGGUCUUGCAAGUCAGAAGUGAAAUUCCUGAGCUCAACUCGGGCGCUGCUUCUGAAACUGCAGGACUUGAGUGCUGGAGGGGAUAGCGGAAUUCCUAGUGGAGCGGUAAAAUGCGCAGAUAUUAGGAAGAACACCGGUGGCGAAGGCGGCUUUUUGGAGAGUAACGGACGCUGAGGCGCGAAAGCGUGGGGAGCAAACAGGAUGAGAUACCCUGGUAGCCCACGCCGUAAACGAUGAAUACUAGGUGUAGGGGGGAUCGACUCCCUCUGUGCCGCAGGUAACACAAUAAGUAUUCCGCCUGGGGAGUACGGCCGCAAGGUUGAAACUCAAAGGAAUUGACGGGG